rnacentral:lncRNA from 1 species
GAAAAUGAAUUAGGACAUUGAAUACUACAAGAAAAGGAAAAAUAUACAAACAAGCAAGAAAAGAUCACCAAUACUACAAAAAAAAUUAAUUACUCAUUGAAUGAUCAAGUCCAUACAUCAAACUGAACUUCAAAGAAUCCUAAAAAAAAAAUUACAUUGUGUGGAGGAUUACCUUAGUGUGAGAAAUAUUUACACAAGUUAAGGUUACUUAAGAAUCUACAAUGACACAAGUUAGGGGUUAACUUCCUAUAAGAAGGUAAUUUUGUACAAACAUGCUUUUAAGAGCGCGACAAAUAAUAACAAUGGUGAAUUCUUCAAUGAUAUUGUGGCACAUGAACUGAUCAACUCAAAGAGGGACGUGCAAGUUUGAGAAGAAAACGACUAUUGUUAUAGUGAAAUCAACACAAAAAGGACAUUCUUCAACAACUAUAUAUAUAUAUAUAUAUAUAUAUAUAUAUAUAUAUAUAUAUAUAUACCGUCACACAUGAGUCUGACCAGCUCAAAAGACAUCCUUCAUCAACAACUAUACAUAUCAUUGGCCUGAUCAAUAACCAUAUUAAACCAUUGCACACAUGACCUUGAUCAACUCAUGAUCAAGCAUGACCAAGUCCAAAACGAGCACGUCAAUGCAAAGGACAUCCAUGAACCGCGAUGCCUUUAGCAGUAGGACAACUAGCCAAACCACAAUAUUCUCCUCCAGUACCCCACCAAUUAAGUUUAACUUUAUCAAGGAAGAAAUAUAUAAAAACUCCCAUAAAUGCUAAUCCAGCAUCCAAUGCAGCUGAGAGAACAUAAUUAUACUUUUGCCACCACUUCUUUUGGUAUUUGAAAAUGAAGUAAUUGAAUAUAAUAGCAAAGACAAUCCAACUAUUGAAGUUCAAAGGUGUUGCUGGAGGCAUACUUGCAGUUGCACCUAAAAGUACUGGAAUGUUAAUCAAUUUAAUCCAACUUUGUUUUGGGAAUGCUUUAUGUAACAACCAUACUAUAAUUGGUGCACAUAAACCACCAAGAAAGAACCAAUUUAGUGCACCGUAGUUUCCAAGAUCACCAAACAUUCUUUUAGGUCCUACUAAACCCCAGAUAACCGAUGCAUCGAAAAAGACGCGACUUCCUGGACAUGUCCAUGGACUAUUUACUGGGAGUAAUGCAUCUUGGCAUAUAUUAUCAAUGUUUGUAAGUAGCCACCAUGCUACAGUCAUGUUUAUUGUACCAGCAAUCAAUGUUCCAAGCAA